rnacentral:rRNA from 1 species
AAAUUGAAGAGUUUGAUCAUGGCUCAGAUUGAACGCUGGCGGCAGGCCUAACACAUGCAAGUCGAGCGGUAGCACAGAGAGCUUGCUCUCGGGUGACGAGCGGCGGACGGGUGAGUAAUGUCUGGGAAACUGCCUGAUGGAGGGGGAUAACUACUGGAAACGGUAGCUAAUACCGCAUAACGUCGCAAGACCAAAGUGGGGGACCUUCGGGCCUCAUGCCAUCAGAUGUGCCCAGAUGGGAUUAGCUAGUAGGUGGGGUAACGGCUCACCUAGGCGACGAUCCCUAGCUGGUCUGAGAGGAUGACCAGCCACACUGGAACUGAGACACGGUCCAGACUCCUACGGGAGGCAGCAGUGGGGAAUAUUGCACAAUGGGCGCAAGCCUGAUGCAGCCAUGCCGCGUGUGUGAAGAAGGCCUUCGGGUUGUAAAGCACUUUCAGCGGGGAGGAAGGCGAUAAGGUUAAUAACCUUGUCGAUUGACGUUACCCGCAGAAGAAGCACCGGCUAACUCCGUGCCAGCAGCCGCGGUAAUACGGAGGGUGCAAGCGUUAAUCGGAAUUACUGGGCGUAAAGCGCACGCAGGCGGUCUGUCAAGUCGGAUGUGAAAUCCCCGGGCUCAACCUGGGAACUGCAUUCGAAACUGGCAGGCUAGAGUCUUGUAGAGGGGGGUAGAAUUCCAGGUGUAGCGGUGAAAUGCGUAGAGAUCUGGAGGAAUACCGGUGGCGAAGGCGGCCCCCUGGACAAAGACUGACGCUCAGGUGCGAAAGCGUGGGGAGCAAACAGGAUUAGAUACCCUGGUAGUCCACGCUGUAAACGAUGUCGAUUUGGAGGUUGUGCCCUUGAGGCGUGGCUUCCGGAGCUAACGCGUUAAAUCGACCGCCUGGGGAGUACGGCCGCAAGGUUAAAACUCAAAUGAAUUGACGGGGGCCCGCACAAGCGGUGGAGCAUGUGGUUUAAUUCGAUGCAACGCGAAGAACCUUACCUGGUCUUG